rnacentral:rRNA from 1 species
AGAGUUUGAUCAUGGCUCAGAUUGAACGCUGGCGGCAUGCCUUACACAUGCAAGUCGAACGGUAACAGGGAGCUUGCUCCGCUGACGAGUGGCGAACGGGUGAGUAAUGUAUCGGAACGUACCAUUCAGUGGGGGAUAACGUAGCGAAAGUUACGCUAAUACCGCAUAUUCUGUGAGCAGGAAAGUAGGGGAUCGCAAGACCUUGCGCUGAUUGAGCGGCCGAUAUCAGAUUAGCUAGUUGGUGAGGUAAAGGCUCACCAAGGCGACGAUCUGUAGCGGGUCUGAGAGGAUGAUCCGCCACACUGGAACUGAGACACGGUCCAGACUCCUACGGGAGGCAGCAGUGGGGAAUUUUGGACAAUGGGGGCAACCCUGAUCCAGCCAUGCCGCGUGAGUGAAGAAGGCCUUCGGGUUGUAAAGCUCUUUCGGCCGGGAAAAAAUCGCAUCAGUUAAUACCUGGUGUGGAUGAUGGUACCGGAAUAAGAAGCACCGGCUAACUACGUGCCAGCAGCCGCGGUAAUACGUAGGGUGCGAGCGUUAAUCGGAAUUACUGGGCGUAAAGCGUGCGCAGGCGGUUUGAUAAGACAGGCGUGAAAUCCCCGGGCUCAACCUGGGAACUGCGUUUGUGACUGUCUCACUAGAGUACGGCAGAGGGGGGUGGAAUUCCACGUGUAGCAGUGAAAUGCGUAGAGAUGUGGAGGAACACCAAUGGCGAAGGCAGCCCCCUGGGUCGAUACUGACGCUCAUGCACGAAAGCGUGGGUAGCAAACAGGAUUAGAUACCCUGGUAGUCCACGCCCUAAACGAUGUCAACUAGGUGUUGGGAGGGUAAAACCUUUUAGUACCGUAGCUAACGCGAGAAGUUGACCGCCUGGGGAGUACGGCCGCAAGGUUAAAACUCAAGGAAUUG